AAUGCGGCCUGCUUUCAACUACUAUUUCCUUAUCCUCUCUGUGUCUCGUGCCAGGGAUUGAAAAUUGCAGCUGAUCCUGAGGGUAAUUCUCCAAAACUUAAAGAAAGCCAGGCUGCCUUCAUUCCUCAAAUGCAGGUGUUUUUCCAACAAGAAUUGUGUACAUUGGUUGUGUAUUGCUGUUCGUUCCCGAAAGCGCUGGAAGGGUGCUGAGCUGGAUGUGAUGCUAUGGAAAGAAUGGUGUACGUUUAGCCUAAGAGAAGAUUAAGGGGAGAUAGCGGACUUCAGUUUAUCUGAAGAGCUGUGAGGCAGAAGAUGGAGCAGAUUUGUUUUCUGUUGCUGCUGGAGUAAGAACUAGAACAAAUGAGUGGAAAUUGCAGGGAAGUCGAUUUUGGCGGAACAGUGGGAAGAUCCAGUUUCUAGGUCAUGGGACCUGUGCAUCCCAUGAAUGUUGGAAAUGCUCAGACACACCAUCUGAUUUGGAAUCAACAAACCUCAGUAAGUUAAACAGGAAAAUGAAGAAAUGAAAUCUGGUGCUCAAAGUUUGAACUCAGGAUGUUUUCUCACAUCUGACACCCAAUCUGCAUUACAGCUCACUUGCUCUUUACAGCUUUGUGUAUGCCUGUAUGUUGUUAGAAAUGGAGAGAAUUGUCUUUAAAUAAGUUGUACAUUCUAGCCAAUGCAAAUGAAAUUAAAGGUGCCCUACAAAGCUUGGGCUUUGGGCUCCAGUCAAGGCUAUGACAAGGAAUAUGUAGCCUAAUGGAUAGAACAGGAAAAUCUGGAAGCAAGGAAAAUCAUGGAUGCAGUACCUCUAGGUGAUGAGUGGACUCUAGUGAUUUAAAGAGAGAGAACUGAGAGCCUGAAAAAAUUCUUAUUCUCAGACUCAGAUGUCCCUGAUCUGAUGUUACAUUAAGAAAUAUAACUGAUCUGAGUGCUUCCAUUUCCUGUUCUAUUAGUUACCCUCCCAAUUUCUACAACAGCCACUUUGCACAUAAUGAAACUGCAAUAUUAGAUUUGCCUAAAAUGAUACUUACUGUGAGUAAAAUUGGCACAAGGCAAUAUUCUGUAGGAUAACUUUUGGAAACAGUCUCUUCAAAUUCCUUCAUCAAAUGAUUCACAUCAGUUGUGCAUGAAAUUUUUAAGCUGCUCCACCUGUGUAGUUUCUGCAUAAGUUUUAUCUUUGCCUAAAUGACUCUAAGCAUGAUAGUUUCCACAGCAAAACUUUCCAGGCAGUUCCUUUAUGUGCUGAUGUACACAGGAUGCUUUUUCUUUCCAGUCUUCUGAGAGAAGGGGAAGCUCUAUUUGUCUCAUUUCUGUUGCUUCAUUACCACAGAGAUGCUAAUAAACAUGGAACAGGAAUGCAUUGUACAUAUUGCACACAACUGUGGUCUGCGUGACAAGAUUUAGUGUGCUAAUAUGGUUUUUAGAUUGUACAUGAAUGCAGUGACCUGCCCCAGUAGACUCGGAGAAGAUCCACUGCAGGGCAAUGUUAGGCUGUGGAACACUUUGAAACUGUACAUGUUUAACUCAGGGGUUAAAGGUUAGCCAGACUUACCCCCAAGAAAGUGGGAGAGGUGGCAAAUCAAGCUGAAAUGGGGCCUUGUUUAAAGGAAAUUGCUGGGUUGGAUCAGAUUCAGCCCAACUACUUAUCUAGCCCAUACCAUGUCUCUAGGGCCU